rnacentral:miRNA from 14 species
CUCUGCAUUCAGAAAAAUUAUUCGUGGGCUGGAGAGAUGGCUCAUCAGUUCAGAGCACUGUCUACUCUUCCAGAGGACCUAGGUUCAAUUCCCAGUAGCCACAUGGCAG